rnacentral:rRNA from 1 species
AUGAAUGAAAGUCUUUCCAUCAUAAACUGGAACGUCUGUGGCCUAAAUUGUCCCAACCAUCGCACAACAGUUCAUGAGACUAUUGCUGCUACUACCUGUAACCUUGUUUGUCUAUAGGAAACCAAAUUGGCUGCUAUUGACCCUCUCUUGGCUGCUUUUUUGGGUGGCCAAAGACUAAAAAGCUUUGCUGAUAGGCCUGCUGAUGGCACCAAGGGAGGAAUUCUCCUUCUCUGGAAUGAAGACUUCCUUAAAGUGGAUAACAUUUCAACGGGUACCUUCAACAUCUCUGCAACCAUCACUAUUGUCAACACUCUCACUUCCUUCAAGCUCACUUCGGUGUAUGGCCCUACUAGAGGCAACCUGAAAGAUGCUUUCUUCCAAGAGCUUGUGAGCCUCAAGCCCCAGUUGGGUACCAAGUGGCUUGUUACGGGAUAUUUCAAUCAAAUAUACCGCGCUCGCGACAAAAACCAUGAAAACAUUGAUCGCUCUCGCCUCGUGCACUUCCGAAACUCACUCAACACCUGUGAGCUGAAAGAAAUUCACCUCCAGAACAGAAGGUUCACCUGGAGCAACGAGCAGACUAACCCGACCUUAAGCAAGUUGGAUUCUUUUUUCUGCAAUGAGGACUGGGACGUUGACUUCGACACUCACAUCCUUCAUGCCAUAUCGUCCUCACUCUUGGAUCACUGCCCACUCCUUCUGGCUAGCGACAGGGGGCCAUGGCGACCAAAAACCUUCCGUUUUGAAUUUUUUUUGACCAAAAUGCCAAACUUCAAGAAGACGGUACAUGAUGCUUGGAAGGAGGACACUAGUCAUUCUGAGCCCUUUUAGGUGCUCUUUCACAAGCUUAAAAGAACAAGUCAGCGCCUUAGGAAAUGGAGCAAGACAAUCUUCUCGAAUCACAAAAUCCAACUCCACAUGGCCCUUGAGAUCAUCCUUCGCCCCGAUGUGGCGCAAGAAUGGAGGACGCUUAGCCUGGCUGAAUGGAACCUGAGGAAGGACCUCAAGAGAAAGGUUGUCGCCCUGGCUAUCCUCGAGCGGGCGAGGAAAAGGCAAAGUUCAAGAAUUAACUUGCUCAAAGAGGGGGACACAAAUACACAUUUCUUUCAUCUCCGUACCAACCAUCACCGAAGGAAGAACUUCAUCCACCGUCUCAAGCACAAUAAUGGAUGGGUCACGAACCAUGAUCACAAAAAGGAUAUUAUCCAGCACCACUUUGCAAAAGCCAUUGGGAAGGGCCCCCCAUGCUCCAAGGACUUCAAUUGGGGUUGCAUCUCACCGUCGAAUUCUAAUGUUUCAGAGUUGGGUGCCUUGUUCACUAAGGAGGAGGGUUGUGCUGCGAUCAACGAACUACCAGGAGACAAAGCCCCGGGCCCGGACGGAUUCACAGGACUUUUGUUCAAAGAAUGUUGGGAUAUCAUAAAGCCAGAGAUUAUGUGA